GAAACCACAAGAGAAAUCUGAUGUAUAUGAUUGUGUCCUUGCUAUGCAUGUUGAUUUCUGAAAGAGAGCCGUCAAAUGAACGGAGUCUGUUUUCCCUGAAUAGGAAGAUUUGAUGCAUCUGCCUGCUCGCUUGCUUCCUCUGUCCCACAUGCAAGCUUCGGUGACUGUUUCCCACAGAGCACCCAAGGGGCAUAGCAAACACGUGAAGAGAUCACACUACUUCCACAGAAGGAGCUUCACAGUAACUUGGAUCUUUACACGAAAGUGUAAAUUCAGAGCAACUUACCCAACUCUGCAACAAAGAUGAUAAAGUUUGCAAGGAG